CAAAGAGGGGGACAACAGUUGGAAACGACUGCUAAUACCGCAUACGAUCUAAUCUCGGCAUCGAGGAUAGAUGAAAGGUGGCCUCUACAUGUAAGCUAUCACUGAAGGAGGGGAUUGCGUCUGAUUAGCUAGUUGGAGGGGUAACGGCCCACCAAGGCGAUGAUCAGUAGCCGGUCUGAGAGGAUGAACGGCCACAUUGGGACUGAGACACGGCCCAG
rnacentral:rRNA from 1 species